AAAUGUAAUUCCAAAAGCCAAAUUUUUUCCAAUUAAAUGACAAGUGAUAGCGUUAAAUAAAAAUUGCUCAGUUUAAUUUCUGUAUAAAAUCCUGGAUGGGCGAUAAUAAGCCUUUCACUAAAAAAUUACUUUUCUCUUUCACCUGACAACAAUUGAAUUAUUUUUGUCCACGAUUUCACUUUAACAUUUUUGGAAGCCCUGCUUCAAAAUUAUUUAUGUUUGAUAUUAUAUUAUAAACAUUAAAGCAUAUUUAACUGAUAACGAUAUACUAAUACAGUUUUACGAGUAAUAGCGUGUAUCGGAUGUACGACAAUUUUAUGUUACUUUAAAAAAAAUAGAGCUAGGUAAAUACAUUACUAAAUAAGUAGCUACAGUACUAAAAGGCACCUAACAAGAUUAAUUUUUAGUUACAAAAAAUCAAAAGUGGUUGCGUUAAAUUACUUUUUUUAACUCUAAUGUAAUUAGUUACAACGCCGUUACUUUCAACAUUUUUAAAUAUAUAAAACUAAAAAUAACAUCAAGUAAAAUAGACAGUGGUGAGAUACAGCAUGCAGUAUAUAGUACCUAUCUUCUAAGUCAUUAUUUCAAUGCAAUAGUUUUGAUCAAAAUUUGACAAUAUCAAAGUAUUUAAGGUUUCUAAAUAUUUAGAGACAUAAUGAUAGAUGUGUUAGAGCUUCACAGAAAUACAGAAUAUAUUUGAGUAUCGCGUACACGUUUUCUGGUCACAACGUAAUAAUAAAACCUACUGUAACUUAACAACGAUUCGUUUUAUUUGAAAAUAAUCGUAUCUUCAACAAUGACUCAAACAUAAUAAUUAAGUGUGUGUACAUUAUAUUAUUUAGAUAACAUUGAAUCAAAAAGUGACUAAGUUUACGAUAACACCAACUCUUUAAGUGGAGUAGGAGUGUAAGACAUAGCAAAAUAUAUUAUGAUAUUAAAUUUAUGAAUAAAUCGAAAACAAUAUUGAGGAUAAAGAAAGAAUUGAACGAUCCAGAGCAGUGGGUGUUCUUACCAAUUCGGCGAUCCUUAAGAGCAUCAACAUGUUGACGGAAGACGUUGGACGGUGGCGAUGGGUAAGUAUGUAUUAUAUGUGUAAAAUAAUAUGAAUAU